GCAGUAGCCGCGGGAAUACGUAGGGUGCGAGCGUUAAUCGGAAUUACUGGGUUUAAAGGGUGCGUAGGCGGCUUAUUAAGUCAGGGGUGAAAGGCGGUAGCUUAACUAUCGAAGUGCCCUUGAUACUGAUGAGCUUGAAUGCAGCUGAGGUAGGCGGAAUGUGACAAGUAGCGGUGAAAUGCAUAGAUAUGUCACAGAACACCGAUUGCGAAGGCAGCUUACUAAAGUGCGAUUGACGCUGAGGCACGAAAGCGUGGGGAUCAAACAGGAUUAGAUACCCGCGUAGUCCCUGUCUCUUAUAC
rnacentral:rRNA from 1 species